UCAUCUCUUUUUCAUCUCCUCUCCAUAGAACUGAAGCCCUGAUGAACUUCAUCUCUUUCAAUCUGAAUCCACUAAGAUCAACAGCCAGGGUACUUAAAGCCAUAAGAAGACGAUCCCACAUCGUGUUUCUCUUUCGCCUCCACCUUCUCACUUUCUUCUUCUUAUCUUUCUCCUCCCCCUUGUCACUUUUUUCUGAUUUUCUUUCGAGAAUCAUAAAUCAUCAACAUCAUCAUUUACCCUUUGGAGAACCCACCACCAUCAGCAGCACCAUCAACAACAUCAUCUUCUCACGAUUUCUUUCUUUCUCUCUCUCAACCGAAGACUCUGACUCUUCCAACAGAGGAGGUACUGGGAAAAGUAGUCCAAAACAGAAGUAAUAAGAAAAGUAUAUUGAGAAACAAAAGAAGGGCGAAAAACAAAUGUUCUUUGAGAUGCUUACAGGUUACCUGGUUCUUUGAGAUGAAAAAAAGCAGAUAUACCCCUCUCUCUUUCUUUAUAAGAUUGAUUGCAAUACACUCUGUAUUAGUAAUUGAUAAACACUUGUUUUGUUUUUUCAGUUUUGUUAAAAUUUGCAGUGGGUAAUUAGUAGUAUGGCUUGCAGCAAUAAGGCAGCGUAUCAAGAAAGAUGAAGAUGAAGUUAGUAUGGCUAAACCCUAUCACUGAAUCUCAAACUCAGACUUGUUUAGUUUGCUGUUGAAUACAACAUGUUUGUAAAAAUGCUUAACAAGUAUUUUGUCCUCUGUCUUGCCUCUUAGUUUUUUUCUAGGUAUGCGGUGUGUUUAGACAUCUUAAAAUCAGUAGCAUUUGUAGGUGGUGUGAUUGAACAAUGUAGACCCUAAUGGUAAGAGGGAGGCGGUUCCAAUGCCGAGGUAUAAGAGCCAACGAAGAGAUGGGAGAUUCAACUGUGGAGGUUACUGAUGAAAACCUGGAAACCCAACGACGAUUUCAACGUGAUGUUUGUUUUGUUCAAUUCGAUCUCUCUACUGGCUCUGUGAUUAGGCAUCUAUGUUUUUUGCAAGUUAUAGAAACACAAUAGCAUAAGUGAAUGACGUGGUUCGCUUCCUGUAUUUUCUUUUAAAAUUGUUCGUUAAUUUUAACUAGGAAAGCUAGAGCAAGCAAUUGAGCAUCUUAUAGAGGCAAUUAUGCUGAACCCAACAUCUUCAAUUAUAUAUGCAACUAAAGGAAAAGCCUCCGUUUACAGAUGAAGAAAUUGAAGAAAUCAUACAAUCUAGUUCUUCAUCUUCACUGGAUGUGCAUAAGACCACAGAACACUUCAAAUUGUUCCAGAAUUUCACCGCAGACAGGUUAUAUGACAUUCAUAAAUAAGCAGCACUACUUGGGCUAUUGGUUAACCCCAUACUCUUCUGAUGGUAUUUGGGCAAAAAGCAGUACUCUGGUGAUAUUUUAGAAGCAGUUGAAAUCUUUGAUGAGGAGAUUGGUUAAGCAAGCGGAGUCUGGUGAUACUUCUGGUGAUAUUUAGUCUUUCUUUCCCUAUUUUGAAAUGCCUCUGUCAGUUGACACAAACUAGGUUACGCAUCCAUUUAUAAACAUCAACAUAGAUCGAAUAUUGUAUGUCAGUCACAACAUACAUAAGUUUACUUGUGUACAUUUGUUUCAAUUGAAGAAUCCUUUCUUUAAUAAUAAUACUAUCUAGUGGUGAUUCUCAACUA